UUCUUUGAUUGUUUAAUUUACAAAAUGUUCCUAACAUUUCCACAGGCAAAUUACCAAGAAGGUAUUCAGUAGCAGAGAUUUUAUUAAAUUCAGUUCCAUAUAUUGGCAUUGAGAUUACCAGAUUUGUAUUUUAAAAGAACGUUUUAAGUGCUGAAAUCAGAAUAAUUGUAUUUUAAAAGACUCUAGACUUAAUUCUAAACUUUCCUGAAUUGAAAGACAUUUAGUCACAAAGAAAAUGUUUCUAGCCUCAUUGCUUGAGAUUACUGAAGACUAGGUAUUUUUGGCCUUGUGUGAAACUGGAAUCUGCAAACAGUCAGAUAAACUUUUCCUACCAUCAAUCAAGAAAGACAUUAUACCUUCCCAAGUAAUUUUGACUCCAGUGACCAGCAAAUGCAUCUAUGGUAUACUUGCCAGAUGUCAAGCUGGAACUCAGAGAAUACACCAUCUUUUGAGAAGAAGGAGCCCUGUGCUGCGAUAGAAUAUCCAGAGAAAUUCAGAGAACCUCAGGCUGCUUCAGAUUGGAAGCCCACACCUACCGCAGGUUGUUUUCCAACUAGAAAAUGAUACAAUGGGAUAAUCCCGCUCUUCAUCUCUAUCUUGCUAGCAGCAUGCAUACUCUUCAUUAGAAAGGUUCUUUGCUGGAAUGCCUAGCCUCUGAACUGGAGCAUCUCCAGGGCCCACUGUCUCCCUGACCUCAAAGUCUAGGCCUUUCAAUUAGAUGACCCAAGACUACCCCACUGUGAUUCCUUCUCCCAAGUGGUCUACACUUUCUUUUGUGGCAACACUACCUACCUCUUGACCCUGCAGUCUCUAAGAUAAUGUACAUGUGCUUCUGCACCCUUCUGGCUGCCAAAGCAGUCAGCCCUUUGCUUUCUUUCUAGAUUUCUAAAGGCAAGAUUCAGACAUAGUGCUACAAUCUGUCAAACGCAAGAAAUAAACUGUGUUUCCUCCCCAGUCCUCAGGCAAAGCAAACAUGAUUAUCUUUCUUUUGUAUGUCAGUAAGGUGAGCAACACCAUUCUCCCCUGAAUGAACCCACUAAAAUUCCUGGGUAUUGUCCCUGAUACUCUGUUUUGCUUUAUCCUUCAUCAUAUCUUUAAGUUCAGCCUGUCACAAACAUUCACUGACACUAUUGAUUUUAGUACAUGUCAACCUC